rnacentral:rRNA from 1 species
AGCAGGGGAUCGCAAGACCUUGCGUUAUACGAGCGGCCGAUUUCAGAUUAGCUAGUUGGUAGGGUAAAGGCCUACCAAGGCGACGAUCUGUAGCGGGUCUGAGAGGAUGAUCCGCCACACUGGGACUGAGACACGGCCCAGACUCCUACGGGAGGCAGCAGUGGGGAAUUUUGGACAAUGGGGGAAACCCUGAUCCAGCCAUGCCGCGUGAGUGAAGAAGGCCUUCGGGUUGUAAAGCUCUUUCGGCCGGGAAGAAAUCGCACAGGCUAAUACUCUGUGUGGAUAGCGGUACCGGCAUAAGAA